rnacentral:piRNA from 1 species
UGAAAGCCCACUGCUGCGCAUUCUGCUU